UCCCCCAUCGUCUAGCGGUUUAGGACACCUCUCUUUUAAGGAGGCAGGCGGGGUUCGACUUCCCCUGGGGGUA
rnacentral:tRNA from 1 species